GGGUUGUGAGGUUAAGCGACUAAGCGUACACGGUGGAUGCCCUGGCAGUCAGAGGCGAUGAAGGACGUGCUAAUCUGCGAAAAGCGUCGGUAAGGUGAUAUGAACCGUUAUAGCCGGCGAUGUCCGAAUGGGGAAACCCAGUGCAAUUCGUUGCACUAUCGUUAACUGAAUACAUAGGUUAACGAGGCGAACCGGGGGAACUGAAACAUCUAAGUACCCCGAGGAAAAGAAAUCAACCGAGAUUCCCCCAGUAGCGGCGAGCGAACGGGGAGCAGCCCAGAGUCUGAAUCAGCUUGUGUGUUAGUGGAACGGUCUGGAAAGUCCGACGGUACAGGGUGAUAGUCCCGUACACCAAAAUGCACAGGUUGUGAACUCGAAGAGUAGGGCGGGACACGUGGUAUCCUGUCUGAAUAUGGGGGGACCAUCCUCCAAGGCUAAAUACUCCUGACUGACCGAUAGUGAACCAGUACCGUGAGGGAAAGGCGAAAAGAACCCCGGCGAGGGGAGUGAAAAAGAACCUGAAACCGUGUACGUACAAGCAGUGGGAGCACCUUCGGGUGUGACUGCGUACCUUUUGUAUAAUGGGUCAGCGACUUAUAUUCUGUAGCAAGGUUAACCGUAUAGGGGAGCCGCAGGGAAACCGAGUCUUAACUGGGCGUUAAGUUGCAGGGUAUAGACCCGAAACCCGGUGAUCUAGCCAUGGGCAGGUUGAAGGUUGGGUAACACUAACUGGAGGACCGAACCGACUAAUGUUGAAAAAUUAGCGGAUGACUUGUGGCUGGGGGUGAAAGGCCAAUCAAACCGGGAGAUAGCUGGUUCUCCCCGAAAGCUAUUUAGGUAGCGCCUCGUGAACUCAUCUUCGGGGGUAGAGCACUGUUUCGGCUAGGGGGUCAUCCCGACUUACCAACCCGAUGCAAACUACGAAUACCGAAGAAUGUUAUCACGGGAGACACACGGCGGGUGCUAACGUCCGUCGUGAAGAGGGAAACAACCCAGACCGCCAGCUAAGGUCCCAAAGUCAUGGUUAAGUGGGAAACGAUGUGGGAAGGCACAGACAGCCAGGAUGUUGGCUUAGAAGCAGCCAUCAUUUAAAGAAAGCGUAAUAGCUCACUGGUCGAGUCGGCCUGCGCGGAAGAUGUAACGGGGCUAAACCAUGCACCGAAGCUGCGGCAGCGACACUAUGUGUUGUUGGGUAGGGGAGCGUUCUGUAAGCCUGCGAAGGUGUGCUGUGAGGCAUGCUGGAGGUAUCAGAAGUGCGAAUGCUGACAUAAGUAACGAUAAAGCGGGUGAAAAGCCCGCUCGCCGGAAGACCAAGGGUUCCUGUCCAACGUUAAUCGGGGCAGGGUGAGUCGACCCCUAAGGCGAGGCCGAAAGGCGUAGUCGAUGGGAAACAGGUUAAUAUUCCUGUACUUGGUGUUACUGCGAAGGGGGGACGGAGAAGGCUAUGUUAGCCGGGCGACGGUUGUCCCGGUUUAAGCAUGUAGGCUGGUUGUCCAGGCAAAUCCGGAUAAUCAAGGCUGAGGUGUGAUGACGAGGCACUACGGUGCUGAAGUAACAAAUGCCCUGCUUCCAGGAAAAGCCUCUAAGCAUCAGGUAACAUUAAAUCGUACCCCAAACCGACACAGGUGGUCAGGUAGAGAAUACCAAGGCGCUUGAGAGAACUCGGGUGAAGGAACUAGGCAAAAUGGUGCCGUAACUUCGGGAGAAGGCACGCUGGUGUGUAGGUGAAGUCCCUGCGGAUGGAGCUGAGACCAGUCGAAGAUACCAGCUGGCUGCAACUGUUUAUUAAAAACACAGCACUGUGCAAACACGAAAGUGGACGUAUACGGUGUGACGCCUGCCCGGUGCCGGAAGGUUAAUUGAUGGGGUUAUCCGUAAGGAGAAGCUCUUGAUCGAAGCCCCGGUAAACGGCGGCCGUAACUAUAACGGUCCUAAGGUAGCGAAAUUCCUUGUCGGGUAAGUUCCGACCUGCACGAAUGGCGUAAUGAUGGCCAGGCUGUCUCCACCCGAGACUCAGUGAAAUUGAACUCGCUGUGAAGAUGCAGUGUACCCGCGGCAAGACGGAAAGACCCCGUGAACCUUUACUAUAGCUUGACACUGAACAUUGAGCCUUGAUGUGUAGGAUAGGUGGGAGGCUUUGAAGCGUGGACGCCAGUCUGCGUGGAGCCAACCUUGAAAUACCACCCUUUAAUGUUUGAUGUUCUAACGUUGGAACGCAGGUCAUAGUGAUCCGGUGGUUCUGAAUGGAAGGGCCAUCGCUCAACGGAUAAAAGGUACUCCGGGGAUAACAGGCUGAUACCGCCCAAGAGUUCAUAUCGACGGCGGUGUUUGGCACCUCGAUGUCGGCUCAUCACAUCCUGGGGCUGAAGUAGGUCCCAAGGGUAUGGCUGUUCGCCAUUUAAAGUGGUACGCGAGCUGGGUUUAGAACGUCGUGAGACAGUUCGGUCCCUAUCUGCCGUGGGCGCUGGAGAAUUGAGGGGGGCUGCUCCUAGUACGAGAGGACCGGAGUGGACGCAUCACUGGUGUUCGGGUUGUCAUGCCAAUGGCACUGCCCGGUAGCUAAAUGCGGAAGAGAUAAGUGCUGAAAGCAUCUAAGCACGAAACUUGCCCCGAGAUGAGUUCUCCCUGAGACUUUAAGUCUCCUGAAGGAACGUUGAAGACGACGACGUUGAUAGGCCGGGUGUGUAAGCGCAGCGAUGCGUUGAGCUAACCGGUACUAAUGAACCGUGAGGCUUAACCUUACAACGCCGAAG
rnacentral:rRNA from 1 species